rnacentral:rRNA from 1 species
CCUACGGGAGGCAGCAGUAGGGAAUCUUCGGCAAUGGACGAAAGUCUGACCGAGCAACGCCGCGUGAGUGAAGAAGGUUUUCGGAUCGUAAAACUCUGUUGGUAGAGAAGAACGUUGGUGAGCGUGGAAAGCUCAUCAAGUGACGGUAACUACCCAGAAAGGGACGGCUAACUACGUGCCAGUAGCCGCGGUAAUACGUAGGUCCCGAGCGUUGUCCGGAUUUAUUGGGCGUAAGGCGAGCGCAGGUGGUUUAUUACGUCUGGUGUAAAAGGCAGGGGCUCAACCAUUGUAUGGAUGGGAAACUGGUAGUCGUGAGUGCAGGAGAGGAGAGUGGAAGUCCAUGUGUAGCGGUGAAAUGCGUAGAUAUAUGGAGGAACACCGGUGGCGAAGGCGGCUCUCUGGACUGUAACUGACACUGAGGCUCGAAAGCGUGGGGAGCAAACAGGAUUAGAUACCCCUGUAGUC